UACGUGGGGUGCAAGCGUUAAUCGGAAUUACUGGGCGUAAAGCGUGCGCAGGCGGUUAUGUAAGACAGUUGUGAAAUCCCCGGGCUCAACCUGGGAACUGCAUCUGUGACUGCAUAGCUAGAGUACGGUAGAGGGGGAUGGAAUUCCGCGUGUAGCAGUGAAAUGCGUAGAUAUGCGGAGGAACACCGAUGGCGAAGGCAAUCCCCUGGACCUGUACUGACGCUCAUGCACGAAAGCGUGGGGAGCAAACAGG
rnacentral:rRNA from 1 species